rnacentral:ribozyme from 1 species
CAAUUCCAAGUACCCAAAAGAGAAAGAAAAAAACAAAACAAAAGAAACAAUGUGACUUCUCUACCCUUUUUCAAAAAAACUUCAAGAAUAUUUCAUUUUCUCAUGUGUUCACCUACUAUCAAUUGCUAUCAUUCUUCGUCCUUAACGUGUGUG